rfam:Magnaporthe oryzae 70-15 chromosome 1, whole genome shotgun sequence.
GGCUACGUGGUAUAACGGUCAUUAUUGCUGCCUUCCAAAUCGUGCAACUGCACAAUGCCGUUAGCAGCAGACGCGGGUUCGACUCCCGCCGUAGUCA